rnacentral:lncRNA from 1 species
AUUAUGGGUUAGGUGAGGAACCUCGCCCUCUUCUAUUACGGUACGCGCGAUGGGUAUUCCCUGAUGCCAUGAACUUACACGUUUCACACACGGGACCAGACGCUUGCUUUAGUUGACGCAUGAAGACCGGUCCGGUCUUUUGCGGAGAAAAGUGGUUAAAAGCUGACUUGUGGGCCGAGAAACUGUGGCACCCUAAUGAGCUAGGGCUAGACGCUUCGACCACCACGCCAAGUGAUUCUGAAGAUCUCUAAUUCUGUCAAGGCGAGAGCGCUCCAACACGUGUUCAUCGGCUGUUGCUUUUUAAAGAGAAGGCAAGGAGGAAGUCUUGCUUUUCUUGUACUUUUUUUCCUAGAAGCAGCAUUAAAGAUUUACUCCUUAUGUUGAGGAAGCGGAAAGCCUCUUCACUUUAAAAGUGUUUAUGAUCGGGCCUGGCGCGGUGACUCACCGCGCCCGGCCUGCUACACCUUUUAAAAUUCACAGCAAUGAUAAAUGUAUUAGACUCAUUGCCAGGAUAAAGAUUUAAUCUAUUUUUCUAGUAGUGCCGUCCUAUGUGGUUCUGUAGUUGCUUAUUCCAACUGGUAUAUUUCCAUAGGAUGGGGUUGAAUAAGAAAAACUUGCAAACUUUCAGAAACAGUAAGUUAUUUUUAUAUUUUUGAAGGCUUGCUGAGUAACGCUUCUCUUGGUAGCACUACCUUAUCUACCCUUCAGAGACUGUUAUUUCUUAGGAGUGGCCCUGGGCAAUUAAAAGCAAAAACUUCUGGCCGGGCAUAGUGGCUCAUGCCUGUAAUCCCAGCACUUUGGGAGGCCGAGGCGGGCAGAUUACGAGGUCAGGAGAUCGAGACCAUCCUGGCUAACACGGUGAAACCCAGUCUCUACUAAAAAUAGAAUAAAUUAACCGGGCGUGGUGGCGGGUGCCUAUACUCCCAGCUACUCCGGAGGCUGAGGCAGAAGAAUGGCGUGAACCCGGGAGGCGGAGGUUGCAGUGAGCGGAGAUCGCGCCCCUGCACUCCAGCCUGGGCGACAGAGCGAGACUGUCUUAAAAAAACAAACAACAACAACAAAAAAACCCCAAAAACUUCUUUACUCAGAAGUACCCUCCUUUGCAUUGGAGAUACAUGUAAAGAGUUGCUUAGCAGUUGAAUAACUCAAAAUUGCAUUUUGGAAGCUUGCUAAGUGACAAGACCUUCUUGUAUCCUUUUGUGAACCCCCAAAAUAUGAGACAGGCCUCAGUUAAUUUAGAAAGUUAAUUUUGCCAAAGUUGAGGACACGCGUCCAUGACAUAGCCUCAGGAGGUCUUGUAGACAUGUGCCCAAGGUGAUCAGAGCACGGUUUGGUUUUAUACAUUCUAGGGAGAAAUGAGACAUCAAUCAAUAUAUGUAAGAUGAACAUUGGUUCAUUCUGGAAAGACUGGACAACUCAAAGCAAAGGCAGGAAGACUCUGAGUGGGGAGGGAGCUUCCAGGGCAUAGAUAGAUAAGAGACAAAUGGUUGCAUUCCUUUGAGUUUCUGAUUAGCCUCUCCAAAGGAGGCAGUCAGAUAUGCGUUUAUCUCAGUGAGCAGAGGGGUGACUUUUUAAAGAAUGGGAGGCAGGUUGGCCCUAAGCAGUUCCCAGCUUGACUUUUCUCUUUAGCUUAGUGAGGUGGAGGCCCCAAGAUUUAUUUUCCUUUCACACUUUAGGCCUUAUGUCUGUUUUUAGUUUUAUAUAGUAGAAUUCCUUAAAACAAUCUUCAACUAAUUCUUAGGGUCUUCUUAAAUUCAAAAGACAAACCGUAUGAGCCCUCCUCCCUGUAACUUAUUCCAAAUCUUAAUCCAUGUUUUCUGUUUAGUUAUGCAAAAUAAAUCGAAAGAAUUCUGUUCUCCAUCUCUAGCCUCCAAAACCUGAACCAAAACAAAAGUUGUCAAAACAGAUUUUUCAGUAAGAAUACACUACACAUCAAGUGGCUAAUGUAAAUUACAAAACAGGAUGUUAAUGGCAGACUGUAAUAUCUCUAUUGUACAGAUAAAAAUAAUCAGGGUCAGAGAGAUUAAAUAUUCUGCCCAAGGUCACACAGCUAAAAGCAGUGGAACAGCUAUAAGAACCCAUUUCUUCUGGUAUUAACUGGUAUUUACACUCUUUUUUUUUUUUUUUUUUUAAUAAAUAAGUGGAUUCUGGCUAUGUUGCCCAGGCCUGUCUGGAACUCCUGGGCCCAAGCAAUCCUUCCACCUCAGCCUCCAAAGUGUUGGGAUUACAGGUGUGAGCCAGUGCACCCAGCCAUUAACACUCUUAACCACUACACUAUACUACCUUCUUACAUUUAUUUAUUUAUUUAUUUGAGACAGGGUCUCACUUUGUCACCCAAGCUGAAGUACAGUGGCAUCAUCUCGGCUUACUCAACCUCCUGGGAUCAAGUGAUCCUCCCACCUCAGCCCCCAAAGUAGCUGGGACUACAGGUACACCACCACAUUGGCUAAGUAGUGUUAUUUUUUGUAGAGACAGGGUUUUGCUAUGUUGCCAAGGCUGGUCUCAAACUCCUGAGCUCAACCAAUCUGUCUGCCUUGGCCUCCCAAAGUACUGGGAUUAUGGGCCUGAGCCACUGUUCCCGGCCAAAUUCUUUUCUUUUCUCUUUUCUUUUUCUUUCUUUCCUUUCUUUUCUUUCUUUCUCUUUCUUUUCUUUCCUUCAUCCUUCCCUCCCCUUCCUUUCCUUUCCCUUUUCCCCUCCCUUCCCCCUUCUGUUCCCUUUUCCCUUCCCUUUUCCCUCCUCUCCCUUCCCCUCCCCUCCCUUUUUCCUCCUGCCUCAGCCUCCCAAGUAGCUGGGACCACAGACAUAUUCCACCAUGCCCAGCUAUUUUAUGUAUUUUUGGUAGAGUUGGCGUUUUGUAGAGACCAGCAUGUUGCCCAAGCUGGUAUCCAGCUGCUGAGCUCAGGCGAUCUACUCGCCUUGGCCUCCCAAAGUGUUGGUAGUAGAGGUGUGAGCCACCGUGCCCAGACCCCAAAUUUAUUUUUAUUUUAUUUUAUUUUUCUAGGUCAGGCAUGGUGGCUCACACCUGUAAUCCCAGCAUGUUGGGAGGCCAAGAUGGGAGACUCACUUGAGCCCAGAAGUUCCAGACCAGCCUUGGCAAUAUAGUGAGAUGCCAUUUCUAUUUUAAAAAAUAUUUUAAAAAUAAAAUAUUUUUCUAUUCACCUUUCAUCAAUACAAACCCAGAAGAGAAUCUUUCUUAUUUUUAAAAAUGAGGAAAUUGAGCCCUACAAGAAAAAUUGCUAUAGUUUAUUGAUCACUUGCUAAGCCAUGUACUUCAUUUAAUCAUCGCUUUUGAACACAGUGUUGUAUAAAGUUGCCCAGGCUCAAAAGCAUGUACUCAUAACAUACUACACUAGGUAGUAUGUUUUCCUCAUCUCUGGUUAUUUUAUUUUAUUUUUUUUUGCUCUGUCACCUAGGCUGGAGUGCAGUGGGGCGAUCUUGGCUCACUGUAGCCUCUGCCUCCUGGGUUCCAGCGAUUCUCCUGUAUCAGCCUCCGGGGUAGCUGGAAUUACAGGCACAUGCCACUGCGCCCGGCUAAUUUUUGUAUUUUUAGCAGAGAGGGGGUUUCACCAUGUUGGCCAGGCUGGUCUCGAACUCCUGACCUAGGUGGUCCACCCACCUCGGCCUCCCAAAAUGCUGGGAUUACAGGUGUGAGCCACCGCGCCCAGCCUCUGACUAUUUUUCUUAGUGAGAUCUUUUUAGUCACAAAUAUGUAUAUGGAAUUUACAUUCCAGUCCCUUGGGUUUAAUAAUGUACAGACAGCAGACCCCCUGUAUCUUCAGGUUUCAAACCCACAGAUUCAGCCAAUAGCAGAUGUGGAACCUGCAGAUGCAGAAUGGCAACUGUAAGGGCCUUGAGCAUCUGCAGAUUUUGGUAUCACGGGGAUCCUGGAACCAAUCUCCCCAAAUACCCAGGUACAACUAUAAUUAUUUUUGCUGAUUGUUAUGUCUCAUUAGAAUGCAAGCUUAUUAAGGAAACCAUAUCUCUUCCUUUUUUCUUUCCUUCUUUUUUUUUUUUUUUUUUUUUGAGACAGUCUCGCUGUGUCACCCAGGCUGGAGUGCAGUGGCGCUAUCUCAGCUCACUGCAAUCUCUGCCUCCUGGGUUCAGGUGAUUCUCCUGCCUCAGCUGCCCAAGUAGCUGGGACUACAGGUGCACACCACCACACCCGGCUAAUUUUUUUUUUUUUUUGUAUUUUUAGUAGAGAUGGGGUUUCACUGUGUUGACCAGGCUGGUCUUGAAUGCCUGACCUCAAGUGAUCUGCCCACCUCGGCCUCCCAGAGUGCUGGGAUUACAGGUGUGAGCCACCAUGCAUGGCCUGCCUUUGAAUUUUUUAAAACAUUUGAGCAGAUAUAUUCUAUAAAUAGCGGUACUAUUUAAUAGCAAUAAGUGGUUACUGAGCACUUACAAUAUGCCAUUGUACUUAAUGUGCAUUAUCCCAUUUAAUCCUCUCAACAGUUUAAUCCAUGCCACUCACCUUGUUCUCUGCGAGACUGAUUCAAUUCUGUUGUAGUCCCCUUAUUCAUUACAUGACAGUAUAAUUUUUGCCAUUUCCUCCUAACCUUUGUAAACUCUACUUUGAUCUCAUCUGACUGUAAUUCACCACUGCUCUUGUUUAAAGUUCACAUUCUCUAAACACUUAUUUAUCUGCACAGUACAAGAAUAUCUGUGCUUCUACAGAGAGUCUUGUCCACCCACUUUCCCUUCCAGAAGGGGAUUGGUAUGUGAAUUCUGAGUGUUUGGAUCGUUUGGCCCACCCUAUUACCUCUCAACAACUCAAGCUCUCUGCCAUGAAGUUAAAAACCUUCCCUUACUCUCAGUGCCCUUUAUUGUCUCCUCUUUUUUUGUUUUUUGAGCCAGAGUCUCGCUCUGCUGCCCAGGCUGGAAUGCAGUGGCACGAUCUUGGCUCACUGCACCCUCCGUCUCCUGGGUUCAAGCGAUUCUCCUGCCUCAGCCUCCCGAGUAGCUGGGACUACAGGCGUGCGCCACUACGCCUGGCUAGUUUUUGUAGUUUUAGUAGAGACGGUGUUUCACCAUGUUGGCCAGGCUGGUCUCCAACUCCUGACCUCAGGUAAUCCACCCGCCUCGGUCUCCCAGAGGGCUGAGAUUACAGGCGUGAGCCACCACGUCCGGCCUACCAUUUAGCAUUUAUAAAAGUUUCCCAGUUAGGCCAGGUGCAGUGGCUCAUGCCUGUAAUCCCAGCACUUUGGGAGGCCAAGGUGGGAGUUUGAGACCAACCUGGCCAACAUGGUGAAACCCCGUCUCUACUAAAAAUACAAAAAUUAGCCAGGCAUGGUGGCGGGCGCCUGUAAUCCCAACUACUCAGCAGGCUGAGGCAGGAGAAUUGCUUGAACCCGGGAGGCGGAGGUUGCAGUGAGCCAAGAUCGUGCCACUGCACUCUAGCCUGGGCAACACAGCGAGACUCCGUCUCAAAAAAAAAAAGGGGUUUCAAAGUUAAAGAAAUUAGGUAGCUUAAAGCUAAAUAUCCAAGACUAUUUACCAGGUACCACUGCAACAUUAAUAAGGUUAUUUCACAAAAUCUCCCUCCCCUUGCCCAAAUCUCCAUCCUUCCUGACUGUACAAAUAUUUUCAUGUUUAUUUUUUAUUUAUUUAUUUUUUUUAAGACAGAGUCUUGUUCUGUCACCAGGCUGGAGUGCAGUGGCAUGACUUUGGCUCACUACAACCUCUCCCUCCCAGGUUCAAGUGAUUCUUGUGCCUCAGCCUCAAGAGUAGCUGGGACUACAGGCAUGAGCCACCACGCCUGGCUAAUUUUUGUAUUUUUAGUAGAGACAGGGUUUCACAUGUUGGCUAGGCUGGUCUUGAACUCCUGGCCUCAAGUGAUCUGUGCUGGGAUUAUAAGCAUGAGCCACCAUGGCCGGCCAGAAAUUUUUUUUUUUUUUUUUUGAGAUGAAGUUUCGCUCUUAUUGCCCAGGCUGGAGUGCAAUGGCGCGAUCUCAGCUCACCACCACCCCCGCCUCCCAGUUUCAAGUGAUUCUCCUGCCUCAGCCUCCCAGGUAGCUGGGAUUACAGGCAUGCACCACCCUACCCAGCUAAUUUUGUAUUUUUAGUAGAGAUGGGUUUUCUCCAUGUUGGUCAGGCUGGUCUCAAACUCCUGACCUCAGGUGAUCCACCCAUCUCAGCCUCCCAAAGUGCUGGGAUUACAGGCGUGAGCCACUGCACCCAGCCCAGAAUUUUUUUUUUUUUUUUGAGAUGGAGUCUCACUCUGUUGCCCAGGCUAGAAUGCAGUGGCACGACCUCAGCUUACUGCAGCCUCUGCCUCCCAAGUUCAAGCAGUUCUCUGCCUCAGCCUCCCAAGUAGCUGAGAUUACAGGCGCCUGCCACCACGCCUGGCUAAUUUUUGUAUUUUUAGUAGAGACAGGGUUUCACCUUAUUGGCCAGGCUGUUCUUGAACUCCUGACCUUGUGAUCCACCCACCUUGGCCUCCCAAAGUGCUGGGAUACAGGCAUGAGCCACCACACCCAGCAGAAAUUUUUUUUAAUGUAUCACAGUUACUUAAAUAUCUUCUAAGCUACAAAACAUAGAAACGAGAGAAUUAAUCUACAAAUUUUUUUUCUCUAAAAAUUAGAUUUACUGAUUCAUGUAAUACUGUCUUCAUGGUAAAUGGUGGUUGAUAGUGUUAACAAAAUAAUCACCUAAUGUUAAAUUCAUGUAUCUAUAUGGUUCUCAAAUUUUAACAGAAUUCUCAAACUUAAGCCUGAGGUUUGUUAAAACUGGAAUGCUAAAAGCUGGGCAUGGUGGCCCACACUUGUAGUCCCAGCUACUUAGGAGGCUCAUUGGAGCCUAGGAGUUAGAGUCUAGCCUGGACAACAAAGCAAGACCUCCUCUCAUGUCUUUCUUUUUCUUUCUUUUUUUUUUUUUUUUGGGGGGGGUGGGUGGGACAGAGUCUCACUCUGUUACCCAGGCUGGAAUGCAGUGGUAUGAUCGUGGCUCACUGCAACCUCUAGCUCUUGGGCUCAAGUGAUCCUCUUCCCUUAGUCUCCUGAGCAGCUUGGACUAUAAGCAUGUGCCCCCAUGCCUGGCUAAUUUUUAAAAUUUUUUUAGAGAUGGGGUCUUGCUUUGUUGCCUAGGCUGGUCUUGAACCCCUGGCUUCAAGCAAUCCUCCCACCUCAGCCUCCCGAAGUAUUGUGAUUAAAGGUGUGAGCCACCAUGCCAGCCAAGACUCCAUCUUUUAAAACAAAAUAACUAACUAAAUUGCUGGGACUCUCACUUCUAGCCAAGACCAAGUAACAAAAACCAGAUUUACCCACUCACCUAAAAUAAAAAGAAACAAACUAGGCAGCAAAUAUGAAAUAAUGGUUUUUGAAGACACUGGAUACCAGGCAUCAAAGGACAAUGAUUCCUAAAAGAGAAGGCACAAAUGCAGGGAGCUGGGAGAUUGUCCCAGUUUAUUGCCUUGGGAAUGUGUCCAAGUUGCAGCACAGAAACGGAACAGAGUAAGCCUGGUGGAGUCUUUGAGCCGAGAGUCUAGGAAAACCAAACCUUAGGACAGAAUUCCAGAGAGGAGAGAGCAGCACAGAAAGAGAGAGAGCUGCAGAAGUUUCCUUAGAAUAUUCAGCAGAGUAAUUAUUAGCACAUGAAUCUGAGCAAACUACCCAAAACCAAGGGGAAAAUCAACAGAUAAGGUUAGAGGAAACAUUGUCCAGGGUUGGUUGGGAACAAUGCCUGGUUCUAUCAAUCAGCCAGAUUGAAAAAAACUCAUAACCUGUGGGACAGUGGGUAGAGUACUCAAAAAGGUCUUGCCUCACUGAUGAAGAAUAAUUAAUUCUAAAUUGAGUACUACUCUGGACCUACCUAAAAAAUUAUAAAAAACCUGAAAAGAUCAAAUUAUUUCCCAGUCAUUUAACUACAUCCUAGAACAAACCGCACAAGGAUUUAAAGUAAAACGAAAAUACACAAUAUCAAACAAGGUAAAAUUCUGGCAUCUAAUACAAAAUUAUUGGGCAUGCAAAGAGGAAGGAAUACAUGACCAUCAUGAGAGUAAUUGAUCAAUUGAAACCAACACAGAACUGACAGAGAUGUUAUUUUAAAUAAGUAAAGACAUGUAAGAUAUUUUUAAAAGACUUGAGCAUCUAGAAAUAAAAACAAUGUCUGAGAUGAAAAGUACACUAGAUGGAAUUAACAGUAGAUUAAACUACACAGAAGAAAAGAUUAAUAAACUUAAACUCAUAGAAAUAGGAACUAUUCAAAAUGAAACAGAAAAGAGUCAAAAAGGAAAAAUGAAGAGCAUUAGUGAGCUGUGAAAUAGCCUCAAGUAGCCUAAUACAUGGGUAACUGAAGUCCCUAAAAGAAGGGAAGAGGGACAGAAAAAAAUAUGUUAAGAAAUAAUGACCAAUGACCCACAUUUUCCCAAAUUUGGUUAAACCACACGUAUAGAUGCUUUACUAAGUCCAAGCACAAGAAACAUGGAGAAAAUUAUAUCAAAGUGUAUUGCUAUCAAAUAAGUUGAAACCAGUGAUAAAGAGGAAAUCUUAAAAGCAGUCAGAGAAAAAGAGACUUAGGAACCAUAUAGGAACAAAGAUAAGGGUGACAUCGUAUUUCUCACUGGAAACAUUGCAGACAAGAAGUGGAGUAACAUCUUAAAAUAGGGAAAGUAAAAAAGGUCAGCCUAGAAAUCUAUGUCCAGCAAAAAUAUCUUAUAAAAAGAAGGAAAAAUAAAGAUGCUUUCAGACAUGCAAAAGUUGAAAGAAUUCCUUGACAGUAAACCUAUACUACCAGAAAUGUUAAAGGCAGUUUUUCAGGCAAAAGAAAAAUGACACCAUAUGGAUCUAUCCAACGAAAUAGCAUGGGAAAAGAUUAAGUAUAAUAGUGUAUAUGUAAACUUUUUAAUUUAAAACUUUUUUUAAAAACAGAUAACUGUUUAAACAAAAAUAACAUACUGUGAGAUUUAUAACAUAAAAGCAAAAUUUAUGAACUAUAAUAUAAAGACUGGAAGAAAAAAAUGGAAACAUUAUUGUAAGGUUCCUAUUCUAUACACAAAGUGGUAUAAUAUCACUGAAGGUAGACUAGUAAAUUAAAGAUGUAUAUAAUAGCGGGGCAGUUCCAAGAUGGCCGAAUAGGAACAGCUCCAGUCUACAGCUCCCAGUGUGAGUGACACAGAAGACAGGUGAGUUCUGCAUUUCCAACUGAGCUUUGAAGAGAGUAGUGGUUCUCCCAGCAUGGAGUCUGAGAUCUGAGAACGGACAGACUGCCUACUCAAGUGGGUCCCUGACCCCCGAGUAGCCUAACUCGGAGGCAUCCCCCAGUAGGGGCAGACUGACACCCCACACAGCCGGGUACCCCUCUGAGACGAAGCUUCCAGAGGAACAAUCAGGCAGCAACAUUUGCUGUUUAGCAAUAUUCAUGGUUCUGCAGCCUCCGCUGCUGAUACCUAGGCAAACAGGGUCUGGAGUGGACCUCCAGCAAACUCCAACAGACCUGCAGCUGAGGGUCCUGACUGUUAGAAGGAAAACUAACAAACAGGACAUUUGCACCAAAACCCCACCUGUACAUCACCAUCAUCAAAGACCAAAGGUAGAUAAAACCACAAAGAUGGGGAAAAACACAGCAGAAAAGCUGAAAAUUCUAAAAAUCAGAGCGCGUCUCCCCCUCCGAAGGAACGCAGCUCCUCACCAGCAACAGAACAAAGCUGGAUGGAGAAUGACUUUGAUGAGUUGGGAGAAGAAGGCUUCAGACGAUCAAACUUCUCCAAGCUAAAGGAGGAAGUUCAAACCCACGCAAAGAAGUAAAAAACCUUGAAAAAAGAUUAGAUGAAUGGCUAACUAGAAUAACCAGUGUAGAGAAGUCCUUAAGUGACCUGAUGGAGCUGAAAACCACAGCACAAGAACUAUGUGACGAAUGCACAAGCUUCAGUAGCCGAUUCGAUCAACUGGAAGAAAGGGUAUCAGUAAUGGAAGAUCACAUGAAUGAAAUGAAUCAAGAAGUUUAGAGAAAAGAGUAAAAAUAAAUGACAAAGCCUCGAAGAAAUAUGGGACUAUGUGAAAAGACCAAAUCUACGUCUGAUUGGUGUACCUGAAAGUGAUGGGGAGAAUGGAAUGGAGCCACGUUGGAAAACACUCUAAAGGAUAUUAUCCAGGAGAACUUCCCCAACCUAGCAAGGCAGGCCAACAUUCAAAUUCAGGAAAUACACAGAACGCCACAAAGAUACUCCUCAAGAAGAGCAACUCCAAGACACAUAAUUGUCAGAUUCACCAAAGUUGAAAUGAAGGAAAAAAUAUUAAGGGCAGCCAGAGAGAAAGGUCGGGUUACUCACAAAGGGAAGCCCAUCAGACUAACAGCUGAGCUCUCGGCAGAAACUCUACAAGCCAGAAGAGAGUGGGGGCCAAUAUUCAACAUUCUCAAAGAAAAGAAUUUUCAACCCAGAAUUUCAUAUGCAGCCAAACUAAGCUUCAUAAGCAAAGGAGAAAUAAAAUCCUUUACAGACAAGCAAAUGCUGAGAGAUUUUGUCACCACCAGGCCUGCCCUACAAGAGCUCCUGAAGGAAGCACUAAACAUGGAAAGGAACAAGCAGUACCAGCCACUGCAAAAACAUGCCAAAUUGUAAAGACCAUUGAUGCUAGGAAGAAACUGCAUCAAGUAAUGAGCAAAAUAACCAGCUAACAUCAUAAUGACAGGAUCAAAUUCACACAUAACAAUAUUAACCUUAAAUGUAAAUGGGCUAAAUGCUCCAAUUAAAAGACACAGACUGGCAAGUUGGAUAAAGAGUCAAGACCCAUCAGUGUGCUGUAUUCAGGAGACCCAUCUCAUGUGCAGAGACACACAUAGGCUCAAAAUAAAGGCAUGGAGGAAGAUCUGCCAAGCAAAUGGAAAACAAAAAAAGGCAGGGGUUGCAAUCCUAGUCUCUGAUAAAACAGACUU